ACGAACGCUGGCGGCGUGCUUCACACAUGCCAGUCGAACGGAAAGGCCCUGCUUUUGUGGGGUGCUCGAGUGGCGAACGGGUGAGUAACACGUGAGUAACCUGCCCUUGACUUUGGGAUAACUUCAGGAAACUGGGGCUAAUACCGGAUAGGAGCUCCUGCUGCCUGGUGGGGGUUGGAAAGUUUCGGCGGUUGGGGAUGGACUCGCGGCUUAUCAGGUUGUUGGUGGGGUAGUGGCUUACCAAGGCUUUGACGGGUAGCCGGCCUGAGAGGGUGACCGGCCACAUUGGGACUAAGAUACGGCCCAGACUCCUACGGGAGGCAGCAGUGGUGAAUAUUGCACAAUGGGCGGAAGCCUGAUGCAGCAACGCCGCGUGCUGGAUGACGGCCUUCGGGUUGUAAACCGCUUUCGCCUGUGACGAAGCGUGAGUGACGGUAAUGGGUAAAGAAGCACCGGCUAACUACGUG
rnacentral:rRNA from 1 species